GUGUGUCCUAGAAUGGGGUUGGUAUCAUUUCAGCUGUAACAGAAGGGGUUUAGUGUCCUAGAAUGGGGUUGGUAUCAUUUCAGCUGUAACAGAAGGGGUUUAGUGUCCUAGAAUGGGGUUGGUAUCAUUUCAGCUGUAACAGAAGGGGUUUAGUGUCCUAGAAUGGGGUUGGUAUCAUUUCAGCUGUAACAGAAGAGGUUUAGUGUCCUAGAAUGGGGUUGGUAUCAUUUCAGCUGUAACAGAAGAGGUUUAGUGUCCUAGAAUGGGGUUGGUAUCAUUUCAGCUGUAACAGAAGGGGUUUAGUGUCCUAGAAUGGGGUUGGUAUCAUUUCAGCUGUAACAGAAGGGGUUUAGUGUCCUAGAAUGGGGUUGGUAUCAUUUCAGCUGUAACAGAAGAGGUUUAGUGUCCUAGAAUGGGGUUGGUAUCAUUUCAGCUGUAACAGAAGAGGUUUAGUGUGUCCUAGAAUGGGGUUGGUAUCAUUUCAGCUGUAACAGAAGGGGUUUAGUGUCCUAGAAUGGGGUUGGUAUCAUUUCAGCUUUAACAGAAGAGGUUUAGUGUGUCCUAGAAUGGGGUUGGUAUCAUUUCAGCUGUAACAGAAGAGGUUUAGUGUGUCCUAGAAUGGGGUUGGUAUCAUUUCAGCUGUAACAGAAGGGGUUUAGUGUCCUAGAAUGGGGUUGGUAUCAUUUCAGCUGUAACAGAAGGGGUUUAGUGUCCUAGAAUGGGGUUGGUAUCAUUUCAGCUGUAACAGGAGGGGUUUAGUGUCCUAGAAUGGGGUUGGUAUCAUUUCAGCUGUAACAGAAGGGGUUUAGUGUCCUAGAAUGGGGUUGGUAUCAUUUCAGCUGUAACAGGAGGGGUUUAGUGUCCUAGAAUGGGGUUGGUAUCAUUUCAGCUGUAACAGAAGGGGUUUAGUGUCCUAGAAUGGGGUUGGUAUCAUUUCAGCUGUAACAGAAGGGGUUUAGUGUCCUAGAAUGGGGUUGGUAUCAUUUCAGCUGUAACAGAAGAGGUUUAGUGUCCUAGAAUGGGGUUGGUAUCAUUUCAGCUUUAACAGAAGAGGUUUAGUGUGUCCUAGAAUGGGGUUGGUAUCAUUUCAGCUGUAACAGAAGAGGUUUAGUGUGUCCUAGAAUGGGGUUGGUAUCAUUUCAGCUGUACCAGAAGGGGUUUCGUGUCCUAGAAUGGAGUUGGUAUCAUUUCAGCUUUAACAGGAGGGGUUUCGUGUCCUAGAAUGAGGUUGGUUUCUAUGUAACUAAGUGGUGGAAUUUCCUCUUAAUCUGUGUAAGCUGAACAGUGUAUUCAGACUCCUUCUCCACGUCUUGUUACGUUACAGCCUUAUUCUAAAAUGGAUUCAAUCGUUUUUUUUCCCCCUCAUCAACCUACCCCAUAAUGACAUCACAAUACUCCACAAUGACAUCACAAUACUCCAUAAUGACAUCACAAUACCCCAUAAUGACAUCACAAUAUCCCAUAAUGAUGAAGGAAAAAACAUUUUGUAUAAUAAAUAAAAAUAUCUGAAAUAUCACCGUUACAUAAGU